CUAGUAGCGGCGAGCGAAGCGGGAAGAGCUCAAAUUUAUAAUCUGGCACCUUCGGUGUCCGAGUUGUAAUCUCUAGAAGUGUUUUCCGCGUUGGACCGCACACAAGUCUGUUGGAAUACAGCGGCAUAGUGGUGAAACCCCCGUAUAUGGUGCGGACGCCCAGCGCUUUGUGAUACACUUUCAAUGAGUCGAGUUGUUUGGGAAUGCAGCUCAAAUUGGGUGGUAAAUUCCAUCUAAAGCUAAAUAUUGGCGAGAGACCGAUAGCGAACAAGUACCGUGAGGGAAAGAUGAAAAGCACUUUGGAAAGAGAGUUAACAGUACGUGAAAUUGUUGGAAGGGAAACGCUUGAAGUCAGACUUGCUUGCCGGAGCUUGCUUCGGUUUGCAGGCCAGCAUCAGUUUUCCGGGGUGGAUAAUGACGGUUUGAAGGUAGCAGUCUCGGCUGUGUUAUAGCUUUCCGUUGGAUACGCCCUGGGGGACUGAGGAACGCAGCGUGCUUUUUGCGAAAGACUCGUCUUUUUCACGCUUAGGAUGCUGGUGGAAUGGCUUUAAACGACCCGUCUUGAA
rnacentral:rRNA from 1 species